GUCUUUUCCAAAUUGUCUUGAAAACAAUAAACAGGUUUAAUAACCUAAAAGACU
rnacentral:tRNA from 1 species